rnacentral:lncRNA from 10 species
CCGGGGAGUCGGCCUCGGGGCUCUGCUCUCCUACCUCAGUCUGCCCUACCCUGGAAUGGGGAAAAUGCGGACAUGCCACUCAGUCCGGCCGCGAACAGUGCUCCAGAACUCAGAGAGUUUUCCAGACGGGUGGAGAUCGCGUUCCCUGCCCGCCGAGGUCCCAUCGCUUCCCUGCUGGGAAGACAAAUGAGGCGCUUUAGCCGUCUCCACGGCCAGCCCCUCCCUCAUAACCCGAGAUUCUUUGUGGGCUCUUAGUCCAUAGCUGCCUUUGAGGUGGUGUAGACCUUGCUAACCAGGACGGCCCAGUAGGCAGAGCUCAUUUUUAUUCCUGUCUGCAAUCGUGCAAAAACGCCUCUUAUGGAAAAGCCAGAGCGCCAGGAGUCAGCAAAACACACUAAAGAUUGGGCAGUCACUGGGGAGAACACUCAGCCCGCCUGCACCCAGGUGAAAUAUACAGCCUUGUUGCUCACACAAAGCCUGUUUGGUGGUUUCUUCACACGGAUGCAUGUGACAUUUGGUGCUGAAGACCCAGGACAGGAGGACUCCUUUGGGAGACCAGUGCCCUGUUGUCGCCCUCACUCCGUGAGGAGAUCCACCUAUGAUCUCAGGUCCUCAGACCAACCAGCCCAAGGAACAUCUUGCCAAUUUCAAAUCGGGUAAGUGGUCUUUUCACUCUUCUCCAGCCUUUCUUGCUACCC